CUGAAAAGGAAGCCAUUGCCACAAAGUCAUUCGAAAACUGUACAGUUAUUCAGUAUUUGGUGAAUAUCGAAAAUAUGGCGGAUGAUUUAGCUCAAAUGUUUGAACGAUAUUUACGAUUACCUGACGUUAAAGCGAAAAGAGUGAAAAGAGUUGUUCGAGCACAUCGUGUCGACAAAAAAAAAGAAUUAAAAAAAGCUUUGCUAAAGUUCUAUCCGCGAAUCAUCGACAAACUUGUUCGCUGUGAAAGUGACCAGGACUAUAUUUCUCUUUUUACAAGGUACUUUGGAUCGGACUCAUAUUGGGCCACUUCAGGUUGGUGGCGCUUGAAGCUUGCCCGAAUAGAUUUCGAUUAUUCCCGAAAAUACAAGAGACGCAUGCCACAUCAGAUAAAUGGUUUGCUUCAAUUAGCUUCUGGUCUCGAAUACAUCCAUUCAAAUAAUUUAGCUCAUGGAGACAUCAAACCAGAAAAUGUCCUGAUAGCAAAAAUAAGUUUUUUGUUCCAACCACCCCUUCUCUCCUCUACUAUAACGAUAUUGUUUAAUGAUUAAAAGAGUUGAUUGCUUUAUUUAGAAACGGAUGGCAAUUUACGCGAUUUUUACGUGAAUUACCUAUUGGAAAACAUGUUGGACAAAGUUUUCAUUCAAUUACACCCGAUCAUGCUCACUAGGAAAGAAAAAAAUUGCUUGAAUUGUGUGGGCGUGAUUCGCCAUUGGAUCUAACGGGAAAACUCAAAAAAUAUAUUCAGUUCGGAAUUAACGUGAACGCAAAGGACGCAAAGGAGUCCUAGGCCUCGUCUUCGGUUACAUUUUCUUGAAGGGUGAACAUCUAUUCGGUUCAAAAGAAGAAAUUCACGAUAACGUAAUUAGAAAAGAUCCGGUGAAUCUGAAGAAAAUUGAUGGCGAAUUGUUCAAAUAUUAUGAGGAUGGUUUACUACGGAAAAUGUUGGAAUACGAUCCGCGGAAAAGAAUCGAUUCGGAUGAAGUCGUCGAACAACUGGAAUCCAUUAAGAAUAAAUUGAGUGAAAAAGAAGAAGAAUUUCGCCAGCUUUGUGCUGAGGACUCAUCGCCUGAUCUACUUGGAAGAAUCAACGACUUCAUUCACCUUGGAAUCGAUGUGAAUGCAAUGGACAAAAACGGACGGAAUGCGCUCCAUCAUUUGUGUGCAGAAAAUUCAAGCCCAAAUUUAAUUGACGCCAUUCAACUCUUAAUCCAACUGGGAAUUGAUGUGAUAUCCAAUCGUCACGAUGCACGAACUUUUUUAGCCUAUAACUAUAAGAUUAGUAACAAGAACGAAAUCCUAAAACUACUCGACGAAGCACUUGUUAAAAUCAAAACUCGUUUUUAGCAGUUGCGCUUUGAUGACGGAAAACAAAAAAAGGCGGCUGCCUCACAUUAUCUGUUCUUUUAUAUUUCACCACUACCAAAUUCAAAUUUCCCGCUUUUUUGGUUGUUUACACAAGCUAAAUAACUUUUAAAAUACAAGUAUGACUGCAUC